rnacentral:rRNA from 1 species
GACGAACGCUGGCGGCGUGCUUAACACAUGCAAGUCGAACGGAAAGGCCCUGCUUUUGUGGGGUGCUCGAGUGGCGAACGGGUGAGUAACACGUGAGUAACCUGCCCUUGACUUUGGGAUAACUCCAGGAAACUGGGGCUAAUACCGGAUAGGAGCUCCUGCUGCAUGGUGGGGGUUGGAAAGUUUCGGCGGUUGGGGAUAGACUCGCGGCUUAUCAGCUUGUUGGUGGGGUAGUGGCUUACCAAGCCUUUGACGGCUAGCCGGCCUGAGAGGGUGAACAGCGACAUUGGGACUAAGAUACGGCCCAGUCUCGUACGGGAGGCAGCGGUGGGGAAUAUUGCGCAAUAAGCGGGAGCCUGUGGCGGCGACGCCGGGUGCGGGAAAACGGCCUUCGGGUUGUAAACCGCUUUCGCCUGUGACAUGGCGUGAGUGACGGUAAUGAGUAAGGAAGCACCGGCUAACUACGUG